CCUUUUGUGCUGUAUUUAAGGCAGGAGUCUGUCAGACUCCUUGGUAUCUCCUUCAGGCUGACAGCUGCUCUUUAGGACCAGUCCUGUAGUCCACACUUGUCCAGUUGCAGUAGUGUUCCACUAAGAACAUCUGUGCCUUCAUAAACAGAGAUUAACAAAAGCAGGUUUAGGCACAAUGAGCGGCAUUGUUCCCAAGAACAAAAUAAAAGGGGUUGAUUUCUGUGGAGGGCAAACGCACAGUUAUAUAAUCCGCUCUGAUCUCGGCUGCUACAUGCAAUCAAGUAAUUUGAAUAAAGGUUCAGACCUCACUAUUUUCAGUCUGCACCCCUCCUGCCAAAAUGGAGACCAUUAUCUUGCUGAUUGGGAUGACAACUUUUACAUCAUUAAGGGUAACUCCUUUCGCAAGGUCAAAGACCUGUCAACAGACAGCGAUGCUGUAGUUUUGAGUCUUGAUGACAGCUGCAGGGGUGGGGACUACUACUUCUCAGCCAAUGGCUUGUUUUACAUCAUCUUCCAAGAAAAAGGAACUUUUCAUCAGACAUCUAACCUUAAUAAAGAUGGUGAAGAAAAGACACUGCGUUUCAAUUGGUACAAUGGUCUCUAUUACUGGGGCCAGUCAAACAGCUUCUGCCUCCUCAGGCCAGUCUCAGAGUGGGGAGUUGAAUACAAUGAAGCCAACAGCAUAACGGAAAGUUGUUGAUUACGAUACCCAU